CGGAAUCUACUGGCAUGAUACGGCCGUCUCUUCCUCCUUAUCCGGUUUCCAUAGAUUGUUUGUGGAAUGUGCAAGUGGCCGGUGGUUCCAGAAUCAGAUUUUUCUUGACAUGGGUGUCCACUGAAAAGGAUUUUGAUUUUGUCACGGUUAAAGAUUUGGCAACGAAUGCUGUCCUAGGAGGAGGACCAUUCAGCGGAUCCCUACAUGUACCAAUUUUCGAGUCCAGCGCCAACAAAGCGGAGGUUAAAUUUAAUAGCGAUCAACUCCUCAAUGAUUACGGUUUUUACCUUUAUUAUUAUACAAUCUAGUAAUGGACAAAUACAUGGCGGCAAGUGACAUAGAGAACUUUCCCACGAUGAAGACCUUGCAAGCAGAGAGGACUAGAAUGGCACUGAAAGGAGAAAGAAGAGGUCAAUAUCGCGUCGAGCACAGUGGACUCUUUACAUUUCCAAGUAUAACAUUUUGCACAAUUCCCAUUACUGCAAUCCUCCGUGUAUUUUUCAUUGUUAUCAAGAUCAGUUGAUUUAUUUCUGCGUUAUGUGUGAUUCAUAUUUAUAUAUUAAUUGAUUUACAUUUGUUACGACCUAGUGUUGUAACCCAAAGUCUACAUUGUAAUGUUAGAGAAAUGAGUGCUAUAAAUGCUGUUUUAAUGUAGGCUACAAGAACUUUCAA